rnacentral:rRNA from 1 species
UGGGGAAUAUUGCACAAUGGGCGCAAGCCUGAUGCAGCCAUGCCGCGUGUAUGAAGAAGGCCUUCGGGUUGUAAAGUACUUUCAGCGAGGAGGAAGGCAUUAAGGUUAAUAACCUUGGUGAUUGACGUUACUCGCAGAAGAAGCACCGGCUAACUCCGUGCCAAGCAGCCGCGGUAAUACGGAGGGUGCAAGCGUUAAUCGGAAUUACUGGGCGUAAAGCGCACGCAGGCGGUCUGUCAAGUCGGAUGUGAAAUCCCCGGGCUCAAGCCUGGGAACUGCAUUCGAAACUGGCAGGCUAGAGUCUUGUAGA